UGAUGACGAGACGCUAAGGCGUUGAAGCAGUGUAUGUCAGACUUCCAAGAAAAGCUCGCAAUGUCAUAAAUAAAGAAUGCCUGUACCAUAACCGACACAGGUGGGUAGGUAGAGUAUACUAAGGGGCGCGAGAUAACUCUCUCUAAGGAACUCGGCAAAAUGACUCCGUAACUUCGGGAGAAGGAGUGCCUUAUUUAUAAGGUUGCAAUAACAAGAUCCAAGCAACUGUUUAUCAAAAACACAGGUCUCCGCUAAGUCGUAAGACGAUGUAUGGGGGCUGACGCCUGCCCAGUGCCAGAAGGUUAAAGAAGUUGGUUAGUGUAUGCGAAGCUGAUGACUGAAGCCCUGGUGAACGGCGGCCGUAACGAUAACGGUCCUAAGGUAGCGAAAUUCCUUGUCGGGUAAGUUCCGACCCGCACGAAAGGCGUAAUGAUUUGGAUACUGUCUCGGAGAGAGGCUCGGUGAAAUAGACUUGUCUGUGAAGAUGCGGACUACCUGCACCAGGAUAGAAAGACCCUAUGAAGCUUUACUGUAACUUGAAAUUGGAAUUGGACUUUGCUUGCGCAGUAUAGGUGGGAAGCGUUGAAGAUAUUCUUGCGGGAGUAUUGGAGCUAUCAGUGAGAUACCACUCUUGUAAUGUUAGAUUUCUAACUUUGAACCAUAAUCUGGUCAAAGAACAGUUUCAGGUGGGCAGUUUGACUGGGGCGGUCGCCUCCCAAAUGGUAACGGAGGCGUACAAAGGUUUCCUCUGAACGGAUAGAAAUCGUAUCUAGAGUGUAAAGGCAUAAGGAAGCUUGACUGUGAGACCUACAAGUCGAGCAGGGACGAAAGUCGGUCUUAGUGAUCUGACGGUACUGAGUGGAAAGGCCGUCACUCAACGGAUAAAAGUUACUCUAAGGAUAACAGGCUGAUCUCCCCCAAGAGUUCACAUCGACGGGGAGGUUUGGCACCUCGAUGUCGGCUCAUCGCAUCCUGGGGCGGUAGUACGUCCCAAGGGUUGGGCUGUUCGCCCAUGAAAGCGGUACGCGAGCUGGGUUCAGAACGUCGUGAGACAGUUCGGUCCAUAUCCGGUGUAGGCGCUAGAAUAUUGAGAGGAGCCUUCUUUAGUACGAGAGGACCGAGAAGGACACACCGCUGGUGUACCAGUUAUCGUGCCAACGGUAAACGCUGGGUAGCUAUGUGUGGAGUGGAUAACCGCUGAAAGCAUCUAAGUGGGAAGCCCACCUCAAGAUGAGUAUUCCC
rnacentral:rRNA from 1 species